rnacentral:misc_RNA from 1 species
CAGCGGAUUUGUUCUGGCGACUUGCCAGAAACAAAAAUUGUUAAGCAGACAAGCGCCCUUUGACAUCCCGUUUCGCGUUGGCUUUUUAUCAAAUCAGGACUUGAUUUGAUUAGACCCCGAACGGAAUGAUAAAUUAUUGCCUGGCUGAAUUGGCCAGCUGCUGGUGUCCUCUGACGACUUAAUGCGUGUCGUCUGCCAAACGAUUUGGAAAAAUUGAUUGUGUCCACACUCACAAUCAAUUGCCAAAGGAAACUCGGCAGCAGAACGGCCAAGCAAUAAACAAUUCCACAUCUAAAAGGGUCUGGGUUGAGUUUGGGGACGGACGCCGUUCACAAAACUACAGACAACAAAACAUGGCAAAAUAAUUGAACGUUCUUUUUUAUUUUGGCAAGUACAAAUACCAAGCCACAAAAGUGGAUUUUACUUACAGCAAGCGGCUGAUAAUGCAGAUGGAAAAACAAAGCCACAAAACCACUCUAUUCCAGUCCAGUGCUCCUGGUUGCCAAGGCAAUCUAAAAAUGCCUUUGCAUUCAAUGCUUUUCCGCAUCGGCCAGCUAAUAUUUUCCUAUAAUUUAUAUGGUCGCCCAGGGAAAACAUCCAGCAAACAACAACAACAGCAAAUAAAGCGACCAAUGAAAUUGUAAAGUGUCCUGUCAUCGCCACUCCAGGAGAUCCCACAACUGGCCAAAGCCCACUCAAGUGAGUCAAACACCUAGCAGCUCAAGUAAUUAGCAAUUUGUAUGGCUUUCGGCCGACGCCAUUUAUUUUGCGAAGAGCUCACAAAACUCCCGACUUGGCCAUAAAAGUUCAACACCGUUUGAGCACCUCAGCACAGCCCGCCAAGCAUAAUGAAUGUAACCUAACCAUGAUUUAUGCCAUUACGGAGCUCAUAAAUCUCUGGGUCAGCCAGGAAGUGGAGGGAAGGCGUGAUCGAAGACCAGCCACAAAUACCCUAAGUUGGUAUUAUCAAAAAUAAAUAUCACUUGUUCAUUUAAAGCCAAGAAGUUCAUUUUCUGAACAAAGGUUUACACUUUUUUACCUUAUUUAUAUAACAUAUUUAAGACAUUUGAGCUCAUAUCUGCGUGUGGUUGGGUUUUGGUAGUUCAGCACUAGAAAACCCCCUCAAAACGACGUGACUAACCGACCUGAAGCGGAGGAGUCUCCAGAUACAACUCUCCGUCCGGGAAAUUUCACAUAAUUACGUGCACCAGCCGGACUUUUGGGCUGGGAAAAUAGGUGCGAUGGUGGAUCCCGACACUUUGACCUUUCGGCCACAAUAUGCGCUCGUUAGUCAAUGCUUAGCAAUUUGUUAUCAAUCAAUAAUAAAUGUAAAUAACAUAAUAAUGAGAACACAGGCGUUGGACCCACUCCCCCGAAGAUGAUGAGGCAUCAGGGCAUGGGCUCAAAUGGCCUGUGGAAAGAAAAGGAAUUUGGCCUAAAUGAGUUAUUGCCCGCAUAAACAAAAACGGAAGUGCGAAAGCGCCCACGGAGGCAUGCGAUAUUAUAUUUUUUCCGCCCCAUCACGGCAGCUGUUUUCCGAAUAGACAACUCCGCCAAUUGAGCGAAUCAAUGGCCGUCCAGUCAGUCUUGAAAAUACAAAGAUACAAAAACACGGAGGCCCAGAAACAGCCACCCUGUGUUUUCUGGGAGCUGGGAGAUGGGAGCUUUCGUGGUCUUAUUUUUCACUUUUUCGCCCGCUGGUCAUGCAGUGGGGAUUCCAAGACCGUUUUUAUAGAAUUUCUCAGCUUAAAGCUGGAAAAACAGAGAACUGGAAGCAGAUACAAAUGCCUGGUUAUCUCCAAGGGAAUACACAUACCAAUCUGGCCUCACCCACUGCACCUGGUCUAUGAGUUCUCCUGUUGCCGUGAGGAAGUUCAUCUUAUUCUGGCUAAUUAUUCCAUUUGUUUUGCAGCUCCAAGUUUUUUGCCUUGCUUUGUUUCGUUGCCCCAAGGAUUCUGUGGCGUGACUGCACUAUCAAAAAGUGCCAUGGCAAAAACUUACUCCUAGCUGAAUGGCUCCAUCCUUCCCCGCGAAUGGUGAAUCCAGGGUAAACAUAUUGCACAGCACAUGCAAUUCUGUCAAAACAGUCGUACUCGGUUAGCAGCUGGCAAAUAACACAUGAGAAAUGAGCAAAUUAGUGGGCGAGUCACGGAAAAGUUUUAGCCGGAUUUUGGCUCCAGAUUAGCGGGAGAAUACUUUGUCAUUCUUUUUGAGGAUUGUAUUCUGGGCAAUCCUAGACCCAAUCGCUUUUAAAUGCUGUGUACCUAAAAGGAUAUGUUGUACAUGCCGUUAUCA